AAGCGUUCUCAGGGCGGGGCGGAAUUCCCCACCGGCGGUAGGCGCGGGGCGACCCGCGCGAGCCCGCGAGCGCCCCGGUGCCGUCUUGUGGAUGGCCGCCGGGGGUCAGCAGACCUGGUGCGAUGCCAGGGCCGACGGUCACAGUCCGGAUGAAAGAGAGCGCGA
rnacentral:ncRNA from 2 species